CACCUGGCGCAUCGGUCUUGGAGCGUUACAAUAAUAAACAUUUAUCAUGAUAUAAGGAAAUAAAGAAUAACUUUAUUAUUGCUUCUAGGACAUAUUUCCUUCACAAUUAUCUUCCUAUAUAGAUGAUAUUUAAGUUAUACCAACUUUGGUCUUUCAAAAAAGUAUUUAAGGUCUUUCAAAAAGUUAUACCAACUUCCAUUCAUCCACCGAUCGAGUACUAGUUAUUGUAUGCAAUAGCUAGGUAAUUAUCAAAUGUCAAUGGAGCAUCCAAAACUUCCAAUAUAGCAUACAUACGACUUUUAAUCAUAUACAAUUGAUUAUUGUUAAGCAAAACACGAAGCAGCAAUUGACUUCCAGAGAAUCUACAAUUACUAAUAAAUAAGGGAUUAGAAAUUAAUAUGCGUCAAAUAUGACCAUUUGAACCAUAGGUUUUUUAUUUUUGUUUCUUUUCAAAAGCAAAGAAGACUGAAAGACCUAACCACUAAUGGGCAGGUGCAGCAAGGAGGAGCUCAGCAGAAGUGUAGAAGAGAGUGACGGGAGGCUCACCGUCGGCAGAUUGGCAGAUUUUGGCUGCCGGCGGGGUGAUGCACAUGUAGUGAUGCUUGCCCUCAUAUCUUCCAAGCGAGCAUAUUGUUUUCUCUUCUAUUAGUUUGAAAGUUUUUACAACUAUACUGAUAUGUUUCAUGAGAGGAUAAAAUACAUAGCUUAUUAUUUUCUCUUCAAAUAGUUCCAGAUUACAAGGAUGCCAAUGUCCAGAAUUAAUCGACUACUGAAAAAAUACACACCACCGUCAUAGUUGCUAGGAAAUCAGUGCAUAUCAGUUUUUUGUUGGGGCUGUACGUCAGAUUAAGGCUCCCCGUCGUACAAUGACUUUGUUGAAACAGUGAACUUAUUUAUUCGAUUUCCUUUACUGGACUAAAAAUGUAGUUUAUCUUCCUGUACAUAUGUUUUUUUUCAGAUUGUAUGACAUGUAUGGCCGAAUUUUAAACAAAAUUUGUUCGGAGUUUUAUUGUGAGAUUUUGUUCAAGCAAUAGAAUAUGCCUUUAUUUGAGUUAGAAUUUUUGGCAGGCGAUAUCCAUGCAAUAGCACAAUACACAUAUGUAUAUCUUGCACUGAAGUUAUUCGUAUGACUUUCAGGUUCAUGGCAUAGAAGCAGAAUAUUAAGCAGUAGAUGGGAAACUAAAAGAGAGAAAGAAUACAAGUAAAAUUAUUACAAGUGUUGCUGAUGCUACCUUUAGAAAUUAAGUCGUUUGUUGUUCUAUACCCAAGCAAGAAGGUAAACGUUUACUGGACAUAGAAAAUAUGGAAAAUGCAGCUUUUUUUUCCAUCUUUUCUUGCUGUUUGCUGGAAGAGUUGGAUCAUUUGAAAUAGUUGUAUGACAUGCCUUUUAUUCCGGUCGAACGAUUUCUAACGUGCCAUUUUAUGUUCACCAACUUAGGCUUCGUAUAUCAUAUGCAACAUAUCUUAUCCAAGUUUUAACACCUUCAAUUAUUUCAAUCAGCUUUCUUCUUUUCAAGUGAUGCUAAAUGUCACAGAUAGUUAUGUAGGUCUUUUUGAUAUUGUUGAUUUUUUUUGGCAAGAAUAUUGUCGUAACAGUACUAACAUAUAUUCAUGUGUUAGCUGCCUUCCACGUAUAGCAGUAUUCUUGCAUCAAUAAUGGAUGAUAUUCCUCAUUAUUUUCAUAAGUUAAAGUUCCUCUUAUUGUGAGGUACAGUAUUGUUGUCCCCACACCUCAGCAACUUUAAAAUUUUAAUUCGUAGAGGAUGUAUCCAGAUUUGUCACGUUACCCAUGUAAUUACAUUCUAUAUAGACUUAUUACAUUAAUAUAGGAUGAUACGCCAGAAGAGGUUAUGCUCUGCGGUUUCUUUGUAGUGUUUGUUGGUUUUGAUCUGACGGCUUAACAGGCCAGUUAGAUCUAUUAGUCUAACAGAAAAAAGGGAAAGAUAACAUUAAAGAAAAAGGCCCCACGCACCAACGUACGUGGGCUUUUUCUCCCAACUAAGGCGCCCUGAUCGGGGGCACCCAAACCAACUGAUGGUUUAGGUCCCCUGUCGCCAGCGCUACAUAAAAGGGGGUACGGGAGAGGGUUGGCAGCCUGCGCAAUCACAAUUUUCGUACGGUUUCACUCCCCUCCCGAUAUUCUCUCACCCCAUCUGAUCGGGGGGAGCGCUGCAGCGACGGGAAGACCCACUCCAGCCGCCGCUGCUGUCCCCGGGCAGUGCCGGUGGCGUCCUGAGGGCAUCAGGACGUUGAGAAGGACUGCUACCUCGACUACAUCACCCCUGCAUCACGCCUGCAUCGAGCAGGCGAUCAUGUCCACUGCCGUGACAUCUUCCGCUCCAUUCCGGUCCGACAUGAUCGAACCACUUACGGGGAGUAACUUCCCUCAUUGGAAGUCCCAAGUCGAAUUAUGUUUGGGUUGUAAUGAAUUUGACUAUGCCUUGAGGGAAGAAAAACCUGUGGCACCUGUUGCAGAUGCUACAGGGUAUGUAGAACUCAAGAAGAAUUAUGAUGUUAAGAUGGAAAAGUGGAACAAGUCCAACCAUAUUGCGCUUCUCAUCAUGAAAGCGACAAUAUCGCCGGACAUUUCUGAAGCACUCCCUAAGAAAGACACUGCUAAAGAAUUCCUCACUGAAAUGGAGGAGCAAUUUAAAGGCUCCGACAAAGUGUAUACUCAUGAGCUUUUUGCUAAACUUCUUCAGAAAUAUACUAUUGACGAAAAUGUUAGGCAACACAUAUUGAGGGUGGUAAAUGCUUACACCAAACUUAAGGCUUUGGAGUGUUCUUUAAGUGAAGCCCUUCUUGUCAUAAUUAUUCUUGAGUCUCUUCCAGAAGAGUUUGAACAAUUUAAGGUCAACUAUAACUCUCUAAAGGAAAAAUGGCCACUCUCUGAGAUGACCGCAAGGAUCGUCUAGGAGGAAGAGAGGAUCAUGAGGCAGAAGAAAGACCAUGUUUUUCAUGUUGGCUCUAACAAGAGAAAGCAUGACGGGCAAGGUUUUCCCAAGCCUCAGAAAAAGGAAGUCAAGAAAGAAGGCACUAAGCCAUUCAACCCUAAGGCAUUCAAGGGUAAAGAAGCCAGUAGUUCUUCUUCUGCUCCUAGCAGCUCCACUGUUGGAGAAAAUGCUUGUAACUUCUGCAAAGAGGAGGGACACUAUCAAAGGGACUGCCCAGGCUUUCUAAAAUGGAUGAACAAAAGAGGGAUUCGAUACGAUCCAAACUAUAAGAGGAGGAACAAGAAAGCUUAAGGUUGCGAACGGAGUUGAGGCCGAUGUUGAAGCUGUGGGAUCUCUCAUGUUGGAGCUACACACUGGCCACACUCUUAGAUUGAAUAAUGUUAUUUAUGUGCCUACCUUAAGUGGGAAUUUGAUUUCAGUUUCUCGUUUAGAUGAUGAUAUGUAUGAGUGCCAUUUUGGCAAGAAACAAUUUGCUUUGAUCAAAUGUAAUAAGAAUGUAUGCAUCGGUGCU